AACUUUUCUUCAAAGGGCAUCUUGUUCCAUCUUGAAAUGCUAGAUCCAUUUGGUGAUAAAUGCUUUUGUUUCUUAUCUUUAGAUUAAUGAUUCCCAGACCUCCAACAGCUUGAGGGUAGGUAACUUUGCUCCGAUGCACAAGAUGUAGUUUAUGGGCAUAUCAUUGUUGCCUUUCCUUCUCUAUAAAGUUUUUCGAUCAUAGGGGUGAAUUCUGUUGGUAUUCUGAAAAGUGAGAUAGUAUGUAGGUAGGUUACAUAAUGUUUGCUUGGAUAAGAAUAAUCCUACCGUCCUUUGAAAUGUGAGAACAUGACCAACUGAAGCUUCUUUUCAACCUUUUCAAUGACCGGUUGCCAAAACAUGAGAGAUUUCGGGUUAACAGAGGGAUCCCGAGAUAAGUAUUUGGCCAUGAACCAAUUCUGCAACCAAAGCUGUCAGCAAUUGAAUUUAAUUCAGUAGAAAUGAGGUUGAUACCGAUGAUUUCUGACCUUUUAUGGUUGAUGUUCUUUGAUAGAAGAGUGCUCAUAUUUUGAGAAAAGAAUGGAAUCAUCUGUAAAUUGGAGAUGGGUGAUGCAUAAUUUUUUCUUACCAAUAUCAAAGCCUUGGAUGCGUCCUUCAGAUUUAGCUCUGUCCAUAAGCCGGCUAAGAAUGUCAAUGACAAAGUUGAAAAGGAAAGGGGAGAGAGGGUCCUGCCUGAUUCCUUGAUUAAUGAUGGAGAAGUUUGCACACGACAGACAACCCUUAAUCCAUUUUCUCCGUCUGCUUGAAGAAUAUAGUCAAGAAAACUCGCAGUGUCAAAAGCCCUUUUAGUAUCAAGCUUGAUGAGAAUUCUUUUAUUUUUUUCCUUUCCUCGACCAAUCAUCAAUAACUUCAUUGGCUAUAAGUGAAAUAUCCAAAAUCUGAUGGCCCUCUACAAAUCUCAGAUAGAAUCCUAGCAAGAAUUUUGUAGACACUUGUAAGGUCGAGCUUGGUCUAACCUAUCCUGGACCUAGCCUAUUUCUAGUCCACUGAUUCUCUCCUUUUCCUUUCUUCUUGAAAAAAGGUCCAUUCUCAUGGGAUGACUUCUUCCUUGACUCCCUGGCUUCUUUGCCAACUAGGUAAACGAACAAUUGUCUCGAUCAACUUAUGCCUCUUCCUAGUCCUAUGCCUGGAACUGGAUUCGUGCAAUUGUUCUUCCUUUGAGUAUGCACCUCUUCCUAGUCCUAUGCCUGGAUUUGCGCAAUUGUUCUUCCUUUGAGUAUGCUUUGUGGCGACAGCCAAACACAAGAGGGAUAAUAGUCCACCGGAGGUUCCUAAUGCUUCCAUACCCAUCAUAGACAAUCUACCUCCUCUAACUUGGUCUUUUGAAGAAUCACCACAGUAAGUUUGUGAGUAGGCUGUGAUACCAAGCUAGUUCCGAUAGUGGCAAGGAACCACAACUCAAAGGCGAUGGGUAAUGUCCGCCUGGCUAUUGAGGACUUCUUGAUCCUCAAGAAAGUGUGUUUCAUCGGUGACUCCAACCACGGUGUUAUGUAGAGAGAGAAUCAGAAAGGUAGGCGAGGGGUUAGGAACGGGGGAGGGGAAAUAACCGAAAGGAAAAGGGUGAUAUCCCUUUGGAAAAACAUAGCUAGAGCCAUUCUGUGGCAGCUUUGCCUUGAGUGCAACAACAUAGUAUUCCAAGACAAAAUAAAUCAUUUUGAAUCCUUUGUUGACCAUGUGAUUAUUACUGCUAUUACUUGGUGCAAACUUUCGGCAAUCUUCAAAUCAUAUAGUUUAGUUACUCUAUUAACCAAUUGGAGAUGUAUUAUGUAACGAACUCCUUUGGUUUGGGGUCUCUUCCCCUUUUUCCUUUUGUAAUAAUGUGCUUAUAAAAAAUAAAAUAAAAUAACUUUCUGAUCCCUGUAUUUUGAACAA